GCGUUUCUGGCCCUGCCAGUGUCUCCGCCGGUUGAAAGCGCGUGUCUGCGUCGGGUUCUGUUGGAGUGCGUUCGGUGCGCCGUGGGUCCGCGCUGCUUCCACCCAACUUCCUGUUAGUUUCUCUCCUGUCACAAUGGCAUGAUCUCGGCUCACUGCGACCUCUGCUUCCUGGGUUCAAGGAUUCUCCUGCCUCAGCCUCCCAAGUAGCUGGGAUUACAGUUUCCAUCAUUAUCUUCUAUGGAGUUCUUCAUUCCCACAUCUGUGGACCUUAAAAUCCUACCGUUGAGUGCCUGCCUUGGAUCAGCAGUCAGUUCGUUACCUUGGUUCUCAGACGAUGCUUGCAACAACGCCAUGCGAUUCGCCCACUCUUGGGUUACAUUAGUUAUACACUCUGGAGGUGACUUGACCUGUCAUUGUGAACAAUUAUUGCUCUUGGACGACCCAGGACAUAGGCCAGCCAGUACGUACCCCAGUGUGUUGGAGAAUCGCGCUCGGCUUCUUCCUCUGUGCUGAGUCAUGAAAGUUGCCGGAGCAGGUGCAGUUACACAACCUCCAGACAUCUAGGCUUGCUGUCAAGGCUUCUGAUCAACAUGAGAUGACCGCCGUGUGGUAAACUGAUGAACCCUGACCCUGAUCAACAUGAGAUGACCGCCGUGUGGUAAACUGAUGAACCCCGACCCUGAUGAACGUGAGAUGACCGCCGUGUGGUAAACUGAUGAACCCCGACCCUGAUGAACGUGAGAUGACCGCCGUGUGGUAAACUGAUGAACCCCGACCCUGAUGAACGUGAGAUGACCGCCGUGUGGUAAACUGAUGAACCCCGACCCUGAUGAACGUGAGAUGACCGCCGUGUGGUAAACUGAUGAACCCCGACCCUGAUCAACGUGAGAUGACCGCCGUGUGGUAAACUGAUGAACCCCGACCCUGAUGAACAUGAGAUGACCGCCGUGUGGUAAACUGAUGAACCCCGACCCUGAUCAACAUGAGAUGACCGCCGUGUGGUAAACUGAUGAACCCCGACCCUGAUCAACAUGAGAUGACUGCCGUGUGGUAAACUGAUGAACCCUGACCCAUUAGGCUUUGGCUACAGAAUGUGGAAAUAAGUUGUGUUACUACAUGUGUGUAAUCCUAGGGUGCAGGACACCGGCCGGGAGGUUCCAUAGAGUGAUGGGUUCUGCAGGUAACUCAUCCUCUAGUCCUCUGUAAGCUCCUAGAAGGAAGAAAUUAUGUCCUUUAGACUAAUAAAAUUCCUCCAAACCAAAUACAGCACCUACUGUGAAGACACAAAGAUACUUUUAGAAUAGUAAAAACUUUAUCCAUUGAGAAAUUCCUUAAUGAAACAGUAUCCAAGAAGUCAUUUGCCAGCAGAUUUCUUAGAGGUGCGAUAAAGAAGAGGACAUUGCCAGUCGUCACAGCAGCUGCAAUAGCUCCUCUCUAUUGUUAAACAGUGGGAUAUCUUGUGCAGGUUUUCAGUUGACAAUCAAUUUUAAAGAUUAGUUUCGGUCCCCAUCAAUCAAUUAUUUAUUAACCCAUCAAUAAAAAUUUAAAUGCUC
rnacentral:lncRNA from 1 species